rnacentral:rRNA from 1 species
GAUGAACGCUGGCGGCGUGCCUAAUACAUGCAAGUCGAGCGAACAGACGAUGAGCUUGUUCCCUUGACGUUAGCGGCGGACGGGCGAGUAACACGUGCAUAACCUACCUCUAUUUCUUGGAUAACUUCGGGGAACCGGUUCUAAUACUGGAUAAUAUAUUCAACCGCAUGGAUCAAUAGAUCAUGGCGCUUUUGCUGUUUCUUAUAGCUGGUUCCGCGUCGCAUUAGCUAGUUGGUAAGGUAAAGGCUUACCAAGGAGACGAAGCGUAGCCGACCUGAGAGGAUGAUCAGCCACACGGGAACUGAGACACGGUCCAGACUCCUACGGGAGGCAGCAGGGGGGAAUAUUGGACAAGGGGCGCAAGCCUGAGCCAGCCAUACCGCGUGGGUGAAGAAGGCCUUCGGGUUGUAAAGCCUUUUUGUGGGGAAAGAAAAGAAGCAGGUUAAUACCCCGCUGUUCUGACGGUACCAAAAGAAUAAGCACCGGCUAACUUCGUG